UUUUUAAAGACUUCCCUGGACGAUUCUCCUGUGCCGCCAGGGGAGAGUUUCCCACGGUUCUCGCCUUGAGACUGUGGCCACUGAGCGGGGACCUGUGAGAGGAACAAGAAGCUGCUGGCUGUGCCAGAAACAGGCGGGAUCGAACUUCUUUUUAAGAGCACUUUUUCAUCAACUGCUUAAAGAGAAGAUAAAACUUUGAGCACCUGAAUAAUUAGGAGCCAAGAUGAUAAAAACAAACAAACAAACAAAAAACAGAAUAAAAGAAAACAGGUGUUUGGUCAGAGAGAAAAAAGAAGAGGAAAAACCCCGGAAGGGGAGCAGGAGGAGAAGCAACACUUGGGGAACAGGAAUUUCUCAUGUCUGAGUUUUUUGCAUUGGAAAUCUAGAUCUUUCUGUCUUCCUAAACCUUCUAAGGAAAGUCCAUAUAAAUAUCUUCUGUGGAAGGUUUAAUUUUAUUUCUGUAUUGUCCAAAUGAAGAAAAGGGACCCCUUUCCUGUCAGUGACACAAUAGCAAGGAGAGGAGAGGAUUUUUAAAUGAACGAAUUCAGCAGAAGCAGAGGCUCAGAGCUGGAGAAAAGCAUGAAAAUGUAAGCUUUUUAGGUCUCAGGAAUCUUGCAGAAGACCUUGGGCUUCCCUUAUAAAAGGUUGAGUCAUUCUGCCCAGGAUGUUGAGGGGACAGGGCCACAGCUGAUGUGUGGGUGACCCCUUAGCGUGGCUCAGUAUAAUCAGACAGCACCUAUACUUUAUUGGUUUGUAAUUGCAUAGAUUUUGAGUUUUCUUGUGCAAUAUCACCUUCAUAUUUCUUCAUAUUUCUGUGGUCUCGUCAUCUGUCUCUUGCUAUCAAGAAAAAUGACUGGCUGGGUGCAGUGGCUCACACUUGUAAUCCCAGCUCUUUGGGAGGCCGAGGAGGGAGGAUCACUGGAACCCAGGAGUUCGAGACCAGCCUGGGCAACAUAGUUACUCUGAUGAUGAGGCUCCACUCUUGAGGUCCCUGUAUUGACUCUCAGCUAUCGGAGAGGAACGACUUCCUGAGUCUUCACGGUAGCCAGAAGAGACAGGGUCUCACUCUGUUUCCCAGUCUGGAGUGCGGUGGUGUCAUUAUAGCUCACUGUAACCUUGAACUUCCAGGCUCAAUCGCUCCUCCCACCUCAGACUCCCAAGUAGCUGGGACUACAGGUGUGUGCCACCAUCCCCAGGAAGUGAAACAGAGAGGUUCAGUGUCUUGUCUGUGCUCACACCGCCAGUCACAGAGGAGUUGGGCUUAGCUCUGGCAGUCUCUCAAGGGCGCCCUGUCUACUCCCCACUCUGUUUGCACAGCUAUUGGCUUUGCUCCAUCACCAGGGACAGAAGACCUGGAGCUAAGGUCAAAUUGCAUUCAACAUGAGCCUACUACCUUCACCUAAAUUUAGAACAAGACAGCUCCAACCAGCUCUGCCCCAGCAGAACAGAGGCAUGUGGAUUGAUAAUGGGCAAGAGAAAACCCAGCAGGUGCCACAGAACCACCCCGCCCUGGGAGCCAGGAGGGGGUGCCAUCCCUGUGCGGAGCAGAAGGCAUCCUGGGAAUAUCGCUUUGGGGUCUGAGACGCUCAGCUCACUGCCAUGUCACCAGACUUCCAUCAGAGGGUCACCAAGUUCCUAGCCAUACGAAUAAAAUCUGCACGUCUAAGGUUGAAAACAACUUUGUCAUGGGGUUGUAAGCAUGGCUUUUUGAAUUGGAUAGAUUUAAUUUAAAUCAGGGGUGUCCCAUCUUUUGGCUUCCCUGGGCCACAUUGGAAGAAGAAUUGUCUUGGGCCACACAUAAAAUACACUAACCAUAGCUGAUGAGCUUAAAAGAGAAAUCACACAAAAAAAUCUCAUAAUGCUCUAAUAAAGUUUACAAAUUUGUGUUGGGCCACAUUCAAAGCCAUCCUGGGCCACAUGCAGCUCAUAGGCCAUGGGUUUGACAAGCUUGAUUUAAGCAGAAGUGGAAUAACAUGGGGAACUCUCUUGAUGUCAGGGGUAAGAGCUACAAUUUUAUCUAUUUGGACCCAUUAGAAUUUCCAGCAGGAUUUAGGCAUAAAAGCUGCAACUAAAACAAAACAAAAAAAAUGCUGUAGAGACAGGGUCUUGCUAUGUUGCCCAGACUUGCCUUGAACUCCUGGCCUUAAACAGUCCUCCUACCUUGGCUUCCCAGAUUGUUGAGAUUACAAGCGUGAGCCACUGUGCCUGGCCAGGGGUCUUAUUUUUUACUCCGGAAAAAAAACGUUCCCUCCCCCUUCCCCUUCCCUUUCUUGACAGAGUCUUGGUCUGUCACCCAGGCUGGAGUACAGCGGCAUGAUCUCGGCUCACUGUAACCUCCACCUCCCACCUCAGCCUCCCGAGUAGCUGGCAUU